rnacentral:rRNA from 1 species
AUUGCGAGGAGGGCAUCUGUAUUGCUAAAUUAAAGUUUCGACGGUAUAUGAUUGGUGUGUCGUUUGAUUAGCUUGUUGGUAGGGUAACGGCCUACCAAGGCGACGAUCAAUAGCUGGCGUGAGAGCGCGACCAGCCACACUGGAACUGAGACACGGUCCAGACUCCUACGGGAGGCAGCAGUAGGGAAUAUUGGACAAUGGGCGAAAGCCUGAUCCAGCCAUGCCGCGUGAUAGAUGAAGGCCCUCUGGGUUGUAAAUAUCUUUUAUCUGGGAAGAAACUCCUCUAUUCUUAGAGGCCUGACGGUACCAGAGGAAUAAGCACCGGCUAACUCCGUG